GAUUAACUUAUAUUGGGUCGUACCUGCACAAUGGCCCCCACGAAGGGCUAAAUUGCCGCGGUACCCUGACCGUGCGAAGGUAGCGAAAUAAUUUGCCUAUUAAUUGUUGGCCAGAAAUGAAUGGUGUGACGCUGGUGGCGCUGUCUCAUCAGUAUUGAUUUGAAUUUGACUUCUGGGUGAAAAGGCCCAGAUAGACCUGAAAGACGAUUAGACCCUGUCGAACUUUAAGUAGACCCGUUCGGAAAUUUUUAGAAAAAAUGGUUACGCUUUUGGUUGGGAAAACCGGAGGUAAGAAAAAACACCUCCUGCUUUUGUAACACCCGCUAUUGAUGGGGUAAUAAAGACUUUACCCUAAGGGCAAUUGGCCUGACGGAAAGUAAUUUGAUGGGAAAAAUAAGAGUCCGACAGGACAUAGAUAACUUAUAAAACGAACCUAAAGAUCUGCUAUAGCAGAAAGCUAUUAACUAGGAAUAGUUACCGCAGGGAUAACAGCGUAAUCCUCCCGGCGAGACCACAUUAAUGGGAGGGUUUGCGACCUCGAUGUUGGCUUGGGACUUCCUGGAGGCGAAGAGGCUUCUAAGGGUGGUCUGUUCGACCAUUAAAGUCCUACGUGAUCUGAGU
rnacentral:rRNA from 1 species